AUGGCUCUAUGGCUACGAG
rnacentral:snRNA from 1 species